AGCUCCAAUAGCGUAUAUUAAAGCUGCUGCAGUUAAAAAGCUCGUAGUUGGAUCUCGGGAUCGAGCUGACGGUCCGCCGCGAGGCGAGUUAUCGUCUGUCCCAGCCCCUGCCUCACGGUUGCCUCCAGGAUGCUCUUAACUGAGUGUCAUGUGGGGCCCGAAGCGUUUACUUUGAAAAAAAUAGAGUGUUCAAAGCAGGCCCGGUCGCCGGAAUACCGCAGCUAGGAAUAAUGGAAUAGGACUCCGGUUCUAUUUUGUGGGUUUUAAAUCUGAACUGGGGCCAUGAUUAAGAGGGACGGCCGGGGGCAUUCGUAUUGUGCCGCUAGAGGUGAAAUUCUUGGACCGGCGCAAGACGGACGAAAGCGAAAGCAUUUGCCAAGAAUGUUUUCA
rnacentral:rRNA from 1 species